GAUGAACGCUAGCGGCAGGCCUAACACAUGCAAGUCGAGGGGUAGCAGGAUUAAGCUUGCUUAAUUGCUGACGACCGGCGCACGGGUGCGUAACGCGUAUGCAACCUACCUUAUACUGGGGUAUAGCCCGGAGACAUUCGGAUUAAUCCCCCAUAGUACUAAUGAAUCGCAUGGUUUAUUAGUUAAAGCAUUGCGGUAUAAGAUGGGCAUGCGUCCUAUUAGCUAGAUUGUGAGGUCACGGCUCACCAUGGUUACGAUAGGUAGGGGGCCUGAGAGGGUGGUCCCCCACACUGGUACUGAGACACGGACCAGACUCCUACGGGAGGCAGCAGUGAGGAAUAUUGGUCAGUGUGCGCAAGCCUGACCCAGCCAUGCCGCGUGCAGGAAGAAUGCCCUAUGGGUUGUAAACUGCUUUUAUUUGGGAAUAAACCUCUUUACGUGUAGAGAGCUGAAGGUACCAAAUGAAUAAGCACCGGCUAACUCCGUGCCAGCAGCCGCCGUAA
rnacentral:rRNA from 1 species